rnacentral:rRNA from 1 species
CUACGGAGGAUCCGAGCGUUAUCCGGAUUUAUUGGGUUUAAAGGGUGCGCAGGCGGGAUGUUAAGUCGGCGGUGAAAUUUUGCAGCUCAACUGUAAAAGUGCCUUCGAUACUGGCCUCCUUGAGUGUGGAUGAAGUAGGCGGAAUUUGUGGUGUAGCGGUGAAAUGCUUAGAUAUCACGAGGAACUCCGAUUGCGCAGGCAGCUUACUAAACCACAACUGACGCUCAUGCACGAAGGCGUGGGGAUCAAACAGGAUUAGAUACCCUGGUAGUCCACGCAGUAAACGAUGAUUACUAGUUGUCUGCGAUACAAUGUAAGAGACUGAGCGAAAGCGUUAAGUAAUCCACCUGGGGAGUACGUUCGCAAGAAUGAA